CUGAAUUUAUCUAAUGAUUUCUCUAUAAAUUCUUCAAUUGUCAUACGGUUUUCCCUGUUGACCUGCUCAUGCAGUAGAAACAGAACACACUUUCUAAUGUUCAACCACUCUGAUGUUCCCAAUCCUUCCUUUUCAUUUUGUUUCUGUAUUUCCUUCUUCCUGUGUGUAAAGUUUAACACACAAACAGGAAGACAUCUAAAUCACAGGUACAGAGCUUGCUGUAUGCAGAUAAAGAGCCUACAAUUAGAAGCACUUCAGAAUCCUUCCUCUACCUGAUCUCAUUACCACUCUUUCCCUCCUUCCCAAAGGUAAAACACUGUCCUUACUUCUAACACCACAGAUUUGUUGUGCUUGUUUCUCAACUUUACAUAACUGGAAUUAGGGCGUAUUCUUGUGUGUCUGCCUGUUUUCUUUUACUAUUGCCUUUUUGAGAUUCACUCGUGUCCAUUUAUGUCGAUGGACACUGCAUCUCUUGUUCACACACACCUGGCUUGCUGCCAGUUCUGGGCUACCACAACUACUGCUCUCACGGGGGUUCUCCUCAAUGUGUUGUAGCACGUCUGCUAAACGUUGGCUUGUGUGUAUGUUUCUGCUGGGUGCAAAGGCAUACCUCGAAGAUUCUGUAGAUUCAGGUCCUGACCAGCACAAUAAAGUCAUCACAGUAAAGUGAGUCGAAUGAACUUUCUGGGCAUGUAAGUUUCCCUGGGCAUAUAAGUUAUAUUCAUGCUAACUAUAGUCUAUCACAUGUGCAAUAGUGUUGUAUCUAAAAAAAACAAUGUACAUAACUUAGAAAUACCCUAUUGCUAAAAAUGCUAACCAUCCCCUGAUCUCUCAGCAAGUCAUCAUCAUUUAUCACAGCUCACCGUACCAAAUAAAAUGAAAAAGUUUGAGGUGAUCAAUUGCUGUUGGAAAACUGGUGCAUGAGGCCACAAGCCUAAAAUUUGUAAAAAAACAAAAUACACACAGCACCUGUGAAGCACAGUAAAACGAGGUAUGCCUGUGUACCGCUGGAGAGUGGAACUACGGAGUGGCAGGGUUUACAUGUGUACAGCCAUAACAGAUCACGCCAAAUUGUUUAUGGCAGCCACCAGCGCUGUUUUAGUGACAUACUGUUCAAAGAGCAGGAGGAGGAGAACCCAGAGGAAUCUUUCUGCACCUAAUGUAUCGACAAGCUGAACAAGGAUGGGCAGGCGCCUAUGCUCUGGAACGUGUGGCAGCGCGUCCACAAACACGUUAAUGAUUUUCACCACGAUUCCUUCCACAUUUCUCGUGACUUCUACAGAGUCUCCACCAUCAGACUGCAGAACAGCAAGUAGAAACAAUGAGUAGGAGCAAAUAACCCUUCACAAGGAAGCUUUCAGGUAGACCUGGGAAGGCCUUCAGAUGUGCCCCCCACAAAAUGAUCAAAAGAACAUGAAUAAUCAAGGACCUAUUAGUAAAUAUUCAGUGAGUACAGAUUACAUACCAGGGACUGCAUGGCCCUGAGGGGAAUACAACGUGUAGGAUGUGAGCCCCACCACAAAGAUUUAUCAUCUGUAUGAACAAGACUCACAUGGGGAAAGAUACCAACUGGAGGUACUAAAUGACAGAUCCCAAGUAUGUGGCACUCAGAACAAGACUGCUCUUAGGCCAACUGGGAACCUACACGCAACAAGAAGGAUUUGUGUUCUGCCCGGAGAAGAAUGGGUAUAAUCUACAUAAGCAGAACACAGAAAAGGCCAAAAACUCCCUGUUGCUUACAGAAUAAUGUUCAAACCACUGAACUCUGGAACUGAUACUCCAAAUACGGUUGUUGAAUGCAAGAAUGAAUGAACCAAUGCCCUCUACUUCUCCCUGUCUCAACACUCUGAACUCCACACAUCACUCUAACUUACAUUCUUCACACACACACUGUACACAUUCCUGGACCUUGUCAUUUCAUCAAGCAAAUCCUGUCCUUCAUUCCUAUCAGUUCAAAUUGUAUUUCUUAUGAAACUUUGUGGUCGUCCUGGCUCAUGGGUGCUAUCUUUUAUUCUGAACUCUUUCAGCACAGACCUAUUCAACUGGCAUAUAUGAUGUUGAUGCAUACAGUUAUUUUUCUUUUAAUAUCUGUGUCCUGUACUUGCCAACUUGUUGGACACAGAGAGUAUCAACCUAAUACCAAGAUUAAAAGAAGAUGAGUGCUGAAUACGGUCAUCCCUGGAAUGGCCAAUAAUGUGAAGAAGAUACUAACAACAGGUGGGGAUAAACAGAAAAUUCAUGUAGAUGAUCAAGCUCUUUUAUUUUUAAGGAUGAUUUUUAGUUUCAAAUGGUUCAUCCUUCCUGGUAGAGACUCAAUCAUCUCUGAGUACACGGCUCUUAGAGAACACUUGAAAAAUGUUUGUUGAAUUAACAAAUUUGCCACUGUAACUCUAAAAUGUCCUACCUUCACUAACCUGCAUAACAGUAUUAUCCAAGUGCAAUAUAUGGCAAAUUUAAAUUCACUCUGUCAGUAUAACAUUAAGCCCCAGGUAUAGUUCUACCCCUUUAGCACAGCAAACCAGUUAUGCAUGUUUCCUUGUAUUUUUGGAACGGACAUUGUUACUAAAACUAAUUAUUAGCUUCAGCAUUCUAAAAUGUAAGAAGCACAAAUACCUGAGCUUUUCAGAAAGGCUUUUAAUGUCACUUAUUUACUUCUACUUUCAAACUAUGUAAAAAUUUAAAGACCAAAAACAAACAAAAAAACCUGGGGCACCUGAGUGGCUCAGUCAGUUAAGCGUCUGACUCUUUUGAUUUUAUUAGCUUAGGUCUUGACCUCAGCAUCAUGAGUUCAAGCCUUGUGGUGGGCUUCAUGUUGGGUAUGCAGCACACUUAAACAAUAAAAAACUACUGAUGGUAUAAAGACAGCUUACCUGAAUAAGUGCUGGAAUAACCAUCUUCACAGUCUUGUUAAUAACCUGAAAACUGUAAGUAUCAUCUAGACGCAUGACAUUGGCUCCCAUAAAUGUAAAAAUAGACAUGAUGUUGUGUAGAACUUUAUCCUGAAAGAAAAUACAUCUUUCAACAUUUUCCAUUUUAAGCACACCAAAUAUCAAUGAUUCAUUAUAGUCUAGCAAUAAAAGAAGACACAACUCCAUUUAAAAAUGGGCAAAGGAUUCCCAAAGACAUUUUUCCAAAGAUAAAGAAAUGGUCAAUGAGCACAUGAAAAGAUGCUCAACAUUAGGCAUUUAAGGAAAUGCAAAAUCCAAAUCCUAAGAAACUUCACACACCCAAGAAUGACUUAAAAAAAAAAA